UGGCUGCAAUGGAUUCGAUGGAGUUGUACGAGAAGCAUGAGCGGCAAGGGUUAAUCCUAA
rnacentral:sRNA from 13 species